rnacentral:rRNA from 1 species
GGACAGAAAGACCCUAUGAAGCUUUACUGUAACCUGGAAUUGAAUUUGGGCUUUUCUUGCGCAGUCUAGGUGGGAGGCGUUGACAGUUCCCUUCCGGGGGGGCUUGAGCCACCAGUGAGAGACCACUCUGGAGAAGCUAGAAUUCUAAUGGCGAUCCUUGAAUCAGGACGCUUGACAGUUUCAGGCGGGCAGUUUGACUGGGGCGGUCGUCUCCUAAAAGGUAACGGAGAUGUGCAAAGGUUCCCUCAGGCUGGACGGAAAUCAGCCGAAGAGUGUAAAGGCAUAAGGGAGCUUGACUGCAAGACCUACAAGUCGAGCAGGGGCGAAAGCCGGCCUUAGUGAUCCGACGGUACCGAGUGGAAGGGCCGUCGCUCAACGGAUAAAAGUUACUCUAGGGAUAACAGGCUGAA